AGACUGUGGCACUUGUGAUUACUGCAAGGAGGGGGAAAUAAAAAUACCUCGGAUCAGUUGAGAUGAUCCAGGCAGGCCUUUCUGGGAAAUAGCUGGAUCUGAUUCAUUUCAAGGGACUCAGGAAGCUGGUAGAGCUGUUUUCAGUACAGCUGUUGGGGAGUGGGGAGAAGAGAGAUCCGCCGCCUGCAUCCAGCACCGCACACUCUGUCCCUCCACUGAAUGACAUUUGUCUGCACUAAGAAGGACCUGAACUGCUUCAUGGAGGAGUGAAACAUUGAGAUCCCAGCCCACCCCUCACCAGCCUGGGAGCAGCCAGGGCACUAAAGGCACUUAAAGACUCCUGGGCACAAAACAUGCCGUAUCACAUCAGACCCCAUCAGCCAUUCCCCUGUGUUACUGCUGCCCUAGCCAUCCCCCAGAGAACUCUGUUAUGGACUGGGACCCAUCCUACAGCCACCAGACACAGAGGUGGGCUGUGCCAGGAUUUCCCUCCUGCCUCAACAGCCAGGAUGCGAGAGCACGGCCACUGCCAAGGGCUCCCCACCUAAGGGCAGAGGGAAAGGUGACCAGUCUGCUCUGAAGCAUUCGCUAGAAACCAAAAUUAAAAAGACUGUAUAACUUUAUGGAAAAAAAAAAGAGAAGACGUUUUGCAGAAGAACAACUGUUUCAAUCAAAAAAAAAAAAUUUUGGUUGGAAAGUUCUCCCCACAUAAAUUGGAAUUUUCAUCUUGGGGCAGGCAAGUGGUCUGGAUGGUGUGAAACACUGCAAAAGGAGACAAGUGGAAAAAUGAGCUAAGCCAUGGCAGAAUAAUCUUGUGGUGUAUCCACUGGGACUCUCCUCCCCGACGCCAGCAUAAACACACUUCACAUGAUGCUGUUCUCAGGCAGGAGAUUAUCGGCAUGCUCACACGGGCAUGAAGAGGAGGUCUGCUCCACAAUGAGACACCUUGAACAAACAGCACGCUGAACCCUCACCCCUGCCGAGGAUCGCUGAGCGCAGGUCAGCCCCGCUCCGGCUCCACCAGCACCACCUCGGCACAGAAGUUACAGCUCUGCCCUCAGCAGAGCCAACCGGUGGGAAAGCGUUUGUACCAGCGAGCAUGAAAACAUCUGCACUCGUGCAGGGGAGGCUGGUAUUGCUGUGAUUGGAGUUAUACCGUUGUGGCCAUUUCAGUGUGUGUGUCCCCCCCCCCGCCCCCGAAAAGUGCUCUCCAAAUCAAAGUUGUUAUAGCACUACAAAAACAACAUCCAGAACAUAUACCUGUUUAUAGGGGGCAAGAAUUAAAUCAAAGUGCACUGCCUUCGCCUUGCAGAAAGCUGUUGAUGUGCUGGAAUUAAACCCAAACAAUCUCCCAGGCAGUAAAACAGUAUCUUCAGUUAUUAAGGAAGAAUACAGCUUUCUAAAGCCUAUAUUAUAUGACAAAGCAUUGAGGGUAGAAGAUGGCCAGAGCCAACGGCAGGAGAUUCAUGCCAUCUUCAUGGACCCCAUACAGCUACUUACAGAGCAAUUACACGUCUACUAGAGGGAAAAAAUUUGAAUGUGCUGUAAUUAAGAGGCAGCAGGACUACUAUUGGUUUUCUUCUAUUUACACGAGUGGGUUCCCAGUCACUCUCCAUCCAUCCUCUUUCUCCCACUCCCGGCCUACGUCUGAGCCCCUCACUGCCCGCCCCCCCCCUCUCCCCACCGCAUUCCCAGUGGCAGGGACUUACGGGGAAUGUGUCAAAACACAUUUCAGAGUAAUAUGGCUGGAGAGCUGCAUUCAGAUCGGCAUGUUCUAAUGUGUCUGACAACAUUAUAUUCCGAUCCAGCUCUUCACGUAACCUUCAAUUUAUUUCUAAGCCCCUGUGUUUAUUUAACCGAAUCUGUCUUCCGUCGUUUGGAGCAGUAGCACUCAACCUUUAAACAGCCCAAGAGCCACUUCAACCUCGAACAGAUGCAGAGAGCUCCCGAGUCAGGGAGUCACAAAAGAGCCCGGCGCAUUGUGCCGCGGGCGCUGAGGCGCACCGAGCCCCGCUGUAUUCACUGUGCCGGCACCGGCACCUCGGCAGAGGUUGUGGCUUUGCUCAGCGAGGGAGCAGGUGUUUUGCAGCAGGAGAGAGUGGGCUCCAGCACAGCAGGAGCUGGGGGGGGCAUUGCGAGACCUCUGGAGCCAGCCGGUUGUAAGAUGGGGCUUCAAUGCAGUGCCAUGGCUCUCUGCUGCAGCCUCGGCGAGCCAACCCUUCGUGUUUGGGCAUGCUAAGGUGUCCUUCGCAUGGUUACAGCUCCGGUUGUGCACAGACAGCCCCGGUGUACCAGCACCAAGCCACAGGCAGCUUUCGCAGAGGUGAGUUGCAGCAUCAUCGCCUCCCUCUAACAACAGAGGAGAUCGCUGCUUCCUCAAUCAUUCACGAGCAUCACCGCAUCCUUGCGAUACGCUUGUCUCAGGAGAGGACCCCUUUCCCUAGUAUUUCUGCUACCCAGUAUUUCCCAGCUUCAAGACCAGUGGGAGCACCCAGUGGGCCUCACCGAUGUGCCGACAUCCAGGAGCUCCCCCUGUCCCUGCCAGGGCACCCGGGCACAAUCCGUCAGGAUUUCGGUCAUUUGCUGCUACAUUUCCUGAGAGCACAGAAUCACCAGGAGGCCCAAAAAGCUGGGAAUCCUCCCCAAGUGUUUUCCAAAGCCAGGGGUUUUGGGCACUGGGAUCAGCCCUUCCUUCCACAAGAGGACAGGAAAACUUCAGCUGUGACAAACGCACCCACCCGUGUCUGCGCACUUGUCACCCUGAGAAAAAAAAAAUGAUGAUUUCCUAUUGCUUCUUCUUUCAGUUCACCCAGGUUUUGUGCUGGCUUUGGGUUCACUAUGUAUCAUUUAGAAACCUAAUGCAAUUUAUAGGAAAAAACCUUGGCUUGCUUUUCUGUUUACUGUUCCCAAGCAUAAUGAAAAUGUUAAAAUGCUAAGUCACUUGACACCUGCCACCCCAGUAAUGCACUUGCUUUACUUUUUUUGUAGUUACAAGAGUUGGUGAAUAUAUUUAAAGCUCUUCAAUUCACUUAAGUUGAGAAAGACAUGCUGCAUAUUCAAUGAAUUGCCACAGUUGUGACAUGUUCCAUAUCCUCCGCUGUGUUAAGUCUCUUCAUUUAUUCUUUUACAGACAGUCACAGAAUUUAUUCUGUUAUGAAUAAAAUUAUCUCUGAUGUCCUUCAGAAAAUAAUGUAAGGCUUUAGACUGAAUGCAAGAAGUUCAAGGAAAAUAUUCCAGGUGUCCAGGACAUGAAGAACAAGUCAUUGAACCUCUUUCAUUGAGCUGUCAUCUCUUCCUCCGGCUUGCGUGCUGCACCCCCGGUUCCAGACAGGCUUCUGCCUUAGUGAAUAAUGAUUAACAGCACUGAAGCCUUUAGCCUGCUGAAUUCCAGUCCUGUGCACUGGAGUCAUGUGGGCUACUGCUUAAAAAAAAUAAAAUAAUGCCUGUGGCUCAAA